CCAGGAUACACUUCUGCAAAGCCACUCCAAUAUUGGACCAGUUUACCCCACUCUACCAUGGACGUCCUACUUGUGAUGUGGACCUGAACCACCGCCAUGUUAGUCACUCUUUCAGGUCUUGCGGAGUAUCCUUCCCAAGGUGCAGGAACCAGCGUGGAUGAAGUGACAGGACAGUUCCCCUGCUGUACCUUGUGUUUGGAUGACACAAAUACCUGGAACCUCAUACUAUUCUUUUCCACAGGUCUUGCGGAGUAUCCUUCCCAAGUUGCGUGGAUGUGAAGGGACAUGACUGUUCCCCUGAUGUACCAUUGGCGACCUACUUGUGAUGUGGACCUGGACCUCCGCCAUGUAGCAGACAACCCCCCUCAGGUCUUGCGGAGUAUCCUUCCCAAGUUGCUUGAAUCAUCAUGGAUGAAAAGGGACACGACCGUUCUCCUGCUGUACCAUGGGCGACCUAACACAAUACCACUGCAUCUCAUAUAUUACAUUUUAUUUACUAAUAAUUUAAAGAAAAACACAAAACUUCUCAUUUUAAAAAUUUA